rnacentral:rRNA from 1 species
UACGAAGGUGGCAAGCGUUGUUCGGAUUUACUGGGCGUACAGGGAGCGUAGGCGGUUGGAUAAGCCCUCCGUGAAAUCUCCAGGCUUAACCUGGAAAGUGCAGAGGGGACUGUUCAGCUAGAGGAUGGGAGAGGAGCGCGGAAUUCCCGGUGUAGCGGUGAAAUGCGUAGAUAUCGAGAGGAACACCUGCGGCGAAGGCGGGUAGCUGGGCCGACACUGACGCUGAUGCGCGAAAGCCAGGGGAGCGAACGGG